rnacentral:lncRNA from 1 species
ACAAGCGUUGACUGAGACGUUGUAACUGAAUUAACGGAUCAAACGGUUGGCACGUAACAAACGAAAUGUUUGUCAUCCGCAAUCCAAAACACAUCGCCAGUCAAAUCAUCAUCACAUUUAUCAAAGAGCCCUUGGUUGACGAAGGCUCGUUGUACGAUCUUUUGGCGCUCAUCGCGUAAUUUUGGUUAUUCAAAUACAGAAACAGACAAAUUCGUAUAAUAAUACAAAGUGCGCAGAAAACUGUAUGUAGACGCAAAAUAUAAACUAUAUAUGAUUGAGAAUAUAUAACGAUAAUUCUUAACAUUUUAAUUAAGAAUAUCUUUAAUACAUUAAAUGAUUAAACCUGACUGCUACAAAGAGCACAUAUAUGGAUCGUCUGCGUAUCGUCUAAAAGCAUCCGGGGAUGACAAGUCGAACAAAAAAGAUUGGAAUUACGGCUAGUCAUCAGGACGGAAUUUAAGACAUCAUAACAAACAUCCACCUAUUAAUCAGCAAAUCGUCUAAAAUACGUUUUCCAGUUACGGAAUCAUGUUUUUGAAUCUGGUACUGGAACCGUACCGAUAAAAGCCGGUCUCUGGCACUACCAAUAUAUAGAACCAUAACAUACUCGUAUUCUCAUAAUCGUAAAAAAAAAAAUGGCAGUUUUAAUAUUUAUAAAUAAUUUGUGUCUUGAAGUAGUCUCUGUAGAGUAACCAUCAUUUUGCGUAUUCAGUGCCAUAACUUUUUCUUGACCGUUUUCGACGUUCUCGUCACUGAUGCACAUUAUGCCGAUUGACGUUUACGGGUGGGCGUUCAAAAAUAUUUAAAAAUGUUCACGAAAUUAACCACGGUCGCGCUGACCAGACCGAAUAUUACGUCGAAUAAGUACUUUAUUCAAAAUGCCAUCAACGCUAACAGCAAAACCGUCUGCAGUACGAAAAUUAUCAGUUUCGUAAACGUAAUACAGUAGUCUUUGCAAUACAUCGACAAUACUGUUUACCAGGAAACACAAGAACAUGGUCACUAAUUGGCAUAACGGUACGAAAGUGCAAAUCAAACCGACCAAAUAGUCGAACGACCUGAAAAUAGAACAAUUACAACUACGACGCGAUGACUGAUAUCACGUUGAUGUUUUCUGCCUCGAACUGUUCGUCACGACAGAACUUCAACAGUUAGCUAAACGUCGAGUGAACGAAAUGCUGAAGUCAUUUUUAUCUGUUGGUUUAUCAACCGGACGUGAUUGAAAACAACGUGAUUAUACUAUGAGACGUUGAAUGGCAAACUUUAAUUUAAAAAUGUUCCACCAUCAAAUUCUAUUGUCCUUUUAAUAAAGAUGUUAAAAUCCUUGUUAUAUCAAACCAAACACUUCCCUCCAAGCUUUUCGUUUUUCAUUGCGGUCUGAAAAAUUAUCAAACAUCUUGUCCAAUAAAAUAGAUUACGAUUCAAUUUGAGAUGCCGAUUUCAGAAUCUUUCUCUGACAACAAGUUGAUUGUUAAUACUUAAUAAUGAAGAAUGAACAAAUAUUAAAAUAAAAUACUUAUCGGUCGCACGUUUUAUUACUGCGUGUGUGUUCUCCACCUAUCAUUAUAAUGCAUUUCGACUGAGAUUUCUCGUCGCGCAGUAUUUAUACCGCGUAGUAAAGUUAAGCUCGGUAAAAAUGUCGCGCGGCAAAAUAACAAUAGUAUGUUGCCACUUUUCAUUAAUUACUAAAGGAGACUUAGCCCACCCAGACAUUUUGCCCUAGUUGCGCCACAAGUUGUAACCAGGAGUUAUUGGAUCUGGUUGAUCUAGAUGUAAGAUCUAAGAAUCCAAAUUAUCUUAUAAUACA